CCGGUCUGAACUCAGAUCACGUAAGGGGCUAUUGGUCGAACAGACCACUUUCUGUAAAUACUUCUUCACAGGCUAUCCUUAAUCCAACAUCGGGGUCGUAAUAUAUUUUAUAAAUAAGAUCUUGAUAAAAAUUUUACGCUGUUAUCCCUUAGGUAAUUUGUUUUAUUUCUUGAUUGGAUAAUUUAAUUCACUUUAUAUGUAAUAUUUUAAAAAAAGAUUUGAUUAUUUUUUGAUCUCCCCAAUCUAAUGAUUCUCUUUAAUUUAAACAUCUCUAAAUCAUAAAAUUCUAAAGGGUCUUCUUGUCUUUUAGUUCAAUUUAGGAUUUCUCACCUAGAAAUUAAGUUUUACUUAUUAACCCUCAAACAGAUUAUUUUUCAUCGUUCCCUUCAUUCCAGCUUUCAAUUAAAAAGCAAUUUAUUAUGCUACCUUAGUACAGUUAAUUUACUGCAGCUAUUUAAUGUUAAUCAUUGAGCAGGACUUAUCUAAGAGUUGAAUUCCUUAAAGUAUGUUUUUGUUAAACAGGCG
rnacentral:rRNA from 1 species